UAAAUCACAAAAUCUAAAAAAAAAAAAAAAAAAGUGUUAAUGAAAAUAAAACUAUUGAUAUUUUUUAACGAAAAUCUUUACUCAAAAAAAUCUAAAGUUCCUGCUUGGAGACGGUAACGUCGGAAAUCAAAAAGAAGAGAAGGUAGUUGUUGAUGCAGAAAAAUAUUUUUAAUCAAAUUGUGAUGGUGAAAAUAUUUGGACUCAAGUUUUUCAAUGUUUUUUAAAAAUUUAUCUCGAUAAAUUGUAUGACCAUCAAAUUUGAAGCCCGGUUCUUCUAAUGAGGUGGCAUUUAAAUAACUUGUGAUACUUUUUACGUAAUCUCCGAGGUAUAAGAAAACUAAUAUUAUGUUCCCAGGUCUAUAAGCAAUAAAAAAUAGAUAAGUUAAGUAAUUUUUUGAUUAAAAAAUUUUUAACACAGACUUAUAAAUGAUUUAGUACAGGAAGUAAUCCAAUGACAGGAAGAUUGUGUGCAAAAUUAUGAAAUUUUUCUACAAUAAAUUGUUCCUUAGGGAUUAAAUGAUACUGAUGCUGAGUUUGAUACUUGUGAAUAUUGUUUUCUAAUUUAAUUUUUGUAUUGAUCGCUCUAAUUUCCAUCAUCUUUUCCACUUGGCGGAAGCGUAUCUUGUAUAUGACAAAAAAUAAAUAAUUUAUAUACAUGCAAUAAAAUAUUUUUAUAAACUACAA